UACGUAGGGGGCAAGCGUUGUCCGGAAUCAUUGGGCGUAAAGAGCGUGUAGGCGGCUCGAUAAGUCUGCUGUGAAAGUCCAGGGCUCAACCCUGGAAGGCCGGUGGAAACUGUCGGGCUAGAGUCCGGAAGAGGCGAGUGGAACUCCUGGUGUAGCGGUGGAAUGCGCAGAUAUCAGGAAGAACACCAACGGCGAAGGCAGCUCGCUGGGACGGUACUGACGCUGAGACGCGAAAGCGUGGGGAGCGAACAGG
rnacentral:rRNA from 1 species